GUCACAGACAGACAGCGCCACAGCGGGCAAAGCGGAGGAGACAGCAGUAUGCCUCAAAAAUCAGGCAGCCAAAAAAGAAAGGCAAAUAAAACAAGAGAGGAGAAGGAGUUGAAGGGUCGACGAUAUGUCACCCAAUAUUUCCCAAAAAAAGAGUCAAGUGCACCAGCAGCAGCAGCAGCAGCUGUCUGUCAGCCCCCAAGUCCCCCUGCCCCUGAAUCAGCCCCAGUGCCCCCACAGGAGGAAGGAGUGUCUUGACCAGUGCAAUAGUCGCCUCAGGCACUUAUCACACGAGGUCUGCCCACCAAACCUGAGCGCCCUCCUCGCAUGAGUGACUUCAUAAAAUUCAAUGUGCAUAAAUAAAUAAAUCCUUUACCGG